AAUCAACGCUGGCGGCGUGCCUCAGACAUGCAAGUCGAACGAUUAAAGCUCCCUUCGGGGAGUGCAUAGAGUGGCGCACGGGUGAGUAACACGUAAGUAAUCUACCUUUGAGUGGGGAAUAACGUUCGGAAACGGACGCUAAUACCGCAUAAUGCAGCGGCAUCGCAAGAUGACAGUUGUUAAAGGAGCAAUCCGCUUAAAGAGGAGCUUGCGGCAGAUAGCUUGUUGGUAAGGUAACGGCUUACCAAGGCUACGAUCUGUAUCCGGUCUAAGAGGACGGUCGGACACACUGACACUGAAUAACGGGUCAGACUCCUACGGGAGGCAGCAGUCGGGAAUUUUGGGCAAUGGGCGAAAGCCUGACCCAGCAACGCCGCGUGAAGGAUGAAGUA
rnacentral:rRNA from 1 species